UCGUCAGAACGAACGCUGGCGGCAGGCCUAAGUCAUGCAAGUUGAACGGCUGUAGCAAUACAGCAGUAGCGAACGGGUGAGUAAUGUAUGGGAACGUAUCUUCUAGUGGGGAAUAUUCUUUGGAAACGAAGAGCAAUACCGCAUAAGUCCUACGGGAGAAAGUCGCAAGACGCUAGAUGAGCGGCCCAUAUUGGAUUAGCUAGUUGGUUAGGUAACGGCUGACCAAGGCAACGAUCCAUAGCUGGUCUAAGAGGACGAUCAGCCACAUUGGGACUGAGACACGGCCCAGACUCCUACGGGAGGCAGCAGUCAGGAAUAUUGGACAAUGGGGGCAACCCUGAUCCAGCCAAUGCCGCGUGAGUGUUAAGGUCUUCGGAUUGUAAAGCUCUUUUGUGUGGGAAAAUGAUGAUGGUACCACAAGAAUAAGCACCGGCUAACUUCGUGCCAGCAGCUGC
rnacentral:rRNA from 1 species